GUCUUCGGCCACACCUCCCUGAACAAGCCCGAUCCUGUCUGAUCUCGGAAGCUAAGCAGGGCUGGGCCUGGUUAGUACUUGGAUGGGAGACCACCUAGGAAGACCAGGUGCUGUAGGCG
rnacentral:rRNA from 1 species